AUUGAAACACCAGUUUCCGUACUAUCACCGAAGUUAAGCAACAUCGAGCCUGCUCAGUAAUUAGAUGGGUUACUGUUUAGGAAUACCAGGUGCUGUAAG